rnacentral:rRNA from 1 species
ACUCAAAGGAAUUGACGGGGGCCCGCACAAGCGGCGGAGCAUGUGGAUUAAUUCGAUGCGACGCGAAGAACCUUACCUGGGCUUGACAUGCACUCGAAACCUGUAGAGAUACAGGCCCCCUUGUGGUGGGUGUACAGGUGGUGCAUGGCUGUCGUCAGCUCGUGUCGUGAGAUGUUGGGUUAAGUCCCGCAACGAGCGCAACCCUCGUUCCAUGUUGCCAGCACUUCGGGUGGGGACUCAUGGGAGACUGCCGGGGUCAACUCGGAGGAAGGUGGGGAUGACGUCAAGUCAUCAUGCCCCUUAUGUCCAGGGCUUCACACAUGCUACAAUGGCCGGUACAAAGAGUGGCGAUAUCGUGAGGUGGAGCGAAUCUCGUAAAGCCGGUCUCAGUUCGGAUCGGGGUCUGCAACUCGACCCCGUGAAGUCGGAGUCGCUAGUAAUCGCAGAUCAGCAACGCUGCGGUGAAUACGUUCCCGGGCCUUGUACACACCGCCCGU